UGGCCUGGGGAUUGAGAACCCCUGAUUUAUACCAUUUUAUAUGUAAUUUCUGUCCCUAGCCUUUAAGAUUUGAGAUUCUCUAUUAGCUUCUGCACUGUAGAAACAUUUUGUAGGCUUCAGGUUACUUUUUAGGAGUAGAUAAAGGAGGUAGUUUGUUGUGUUAGUCUGAAGUCAGGCUGAAGGUAGGGUAGGGUGGCACCUUUGAAACUGAUAUGUUUAGAGAGCUCCUUGAGCUUUUGUAGGCAACAGCCUACUACAUUAAAUGCUGUAAAUAGGAUACAAAAAGGAAGGAUUUAAUUGGAAAGAAAAAAGGGGAGGGGACAUUGCUGAAAGGAAAAAAGGUGGGUAGAUUUUAUCAACAGGGAUAAACAAGACAGUUAAAACACAUUCAGGGACAUUGGAAUUAACAGCUGGUCCAGAGAAUGGGAUAAGAAUCCAAAUUAUCUUGGAUGAUUUUGUGUUCCUCAAUUUUGUGUUCAAACUAGUUUUUAAAGUUUUGUCCUUUAAGAACAGCUACUCUGAAGUCAGUGAUGGAAGGUCCAGGGAUGUUAAAACAUCAUGCCACAAAGCCU